UGGCCCAUCCUAAUCCCCGCCAGUCUGCCUGGGGCCUGCCAGGUUUUGCUCGUGCACCAGAGAGCUGUAGAAGCCUCCCCCAGAAAAGUGAACAGACAGCGUGCCUGUGCCCGGGGCACUUCUGGAUACCC
ensembl:snoRNA